rnacentral:rRNA from 1 species
GAAAGGGACCGACCUUCGGGAGCCUAUACAGGUGUUGCAUGGCUGUCGUCAGCUCGUGUCGUGAGAUGUUCGGUUAAGUCCGCUAACGAGCGCAACCCUCGUCGUAUGUUAUAUGUGUCAUACGAGACUGCCGGUAAAAAGCCGGAGGAAGGUGAGGAUGAUGUCAAGUCAGCAUGACCUUUAUAUCCAGGGCUACACACACGCUACAAUGGUCUGUACAAUGGGUAGCCAAGCCGCGAGGCGGAGCCAAUCCUGAAAGCAGGCCUCAGUUCAGAUUGCAGUCUGCAACUCGACUGCAUGAAGCCGGAGUUGCUAGUAACCGCAGGUCAGCAAUACUGCGGUGAAUACGUUCCCGGGUCUU